GUUGACAUUUUAAGAUUUCUCUGUGUUUUUUCUUCCAGUGUGACAGUCCAAACAUACAGAGAUGGUUUACUCUUAUUCUUCUGGAGAAAUUUGGGGUUUUCUCUGAAAGUGCAGAAACUCGACAAGACGCCCUUCCAAGUAGAACAGACUAUUCUUAGCAGCAGUGAUGAACUCCCAGUGAUCUGACACAUGACAGAAGCUGUGAAAUGGCUCCAUUCCAACAAACAUCUGCUCAGGUUGCCAGUGGAAAAACCUCUUUUCUUUAUAAUGGAUGAAGAGGACAAAGAAAAGGCCUCAACAAUCUCCUGGAACAAUCAGAAACUUCCAGAGUGUCCUUCAAAUGUCAUUUUGUGUUCAGGGAUGAUGUGGAGUUAUUUAUGCAGGAUUGUCAUGGCAAAAUGAG